rnacentral:rRNA from 1 species
UGGGGAAUAUUGCACAAUGGGCGCAAGCCUGAUGCAGCGACGCCGCGUGAGGGAUGACGGCCUUCGGGUUGUAAACCUCUUUCAAUAGGGACGAAGCGCAAGUGACGGUACCUAUAGAAGAAGGACCGGCCAACUACGUGCCAGCAGCCGCGGUAAUACGUAGGGUCCGAGCGUUGUCCGGAAUUACUGGGCGUAAAGAGCUCGUAGGUGGUUUGUCGCGUUGUUCGUGAAAACUCACAGCUUAACUGUGGGCGUGCGGGCGAUACGGGCAGACUAGAGUACUGCAGGGGAGACUGGAAUUCCUGGUGUAGCGGUGGAAUGCGCAGAUAUCAGGAGGAACACCGGUGGCGAAGGCGGGUCUCUGGGCAGUAACUGACGCUGAGGAGCGAAAGCGUGGGGAGCGAACAGGAUUAGAUACCCUGGUAGUCCACGCCGUAAACGGUGGGUACUAGAUGUGGGGACCAUUCCACGGUUUCCGUGUCGCAGCUAACGCAUUAAGCGCCCCGCCUGGGGAGUACGGCCGCAAGGCU